CAGCAGCCACGGGAAUACAGAGGGUGCGAGCGUUAAUCGGAUUUACUGGGCGUAAAGCGUGCGUAGGCGGCUUCUUAAGUCGGAUGUGAAAUCCCUGAGCUUAACUUAGGAAUUGCAUUCGAUACUGGGAAGCUAGAGUAUGGGAGAGGAUGGUAGAAUUCCAGGUGUAGCGGUGAAAUGCGUAGAGAUCUGGAGGAAUACCGAUGGCGAAGGCAGCCAUCUGGCCUAAUACUGACGCUGAGGUACGAAAGCAUGGGGAGCAAACAGGAUUAGAUACCCCCGUAGUCCCUGUCUCUUAUAC
rnacentral:rRNA from 1 species